GACGUAGGGGGCGAGCGUUGUCCGGAGUUACUGGGCGUAAAGGGCCUGUAGGCGGUCGGGCAGGUUCCGGCGGACAGCCCGCGGCUUCACUGCGGGAGAAGCAGGAAGACGGUCCGACUUGAGGGCCACAGAGGGACAUGGAAUUCCCGGUGGAGCGGUGAAAUGCGUAGAGAUCGGGAAGAACACCGAAGGCGAAGGCAGUGUCCUGGGUGGUACCUGACGCUGAGAGGCGAAAGCUAGGGGAGCGAACGGG
rnacentral:rRNA from 1 species